rnacentral:rRNA from 1 species
UACGUAGGGGGCGAGCGUUGUCCGGAAUGACUGGGCGUAAAGGGCGCGUAGACGGCCGAUUAAGUCUGGAGUGAAAGUCCUGCUUUUAAGGUGGGAAUUGCUUUGGAGACUGGUUGGCUUGAGUGCGGAAGAGGUAAGUGGAAUUCCCAGUGUAGCGGUGAAAUGCGUAGAGAUUGGGAGGAACACCAGUGGCGAAGGCGACUUACUGGGCCGUAACUGACGUUGAAGCGCGAAAGCGUGGGGAGCGAACAGGAUUAGAUACCCUGGUAGUCCACGCGGUAAACGAUGAGUGCUAGGUGUAGCGGGUAUCGACCCCUGCUGUGCCGGAGUUAACACAAUAAGCACUCCGCCUGGGGAGUACGGCCGCAAGGUUGAA